GAGUUUGAUUAUGGCUCAGGAUGAACGCUGGCGGCGUGCUUAACACAUGCAAGUCGAACGGGCGAACUAUAUCGGAGGUCUUCGGGCCGAAGAGAUAAUAAGCUAGUGGCGGACGGGUGCGUAACGUGUGGGUAAUCUGCCUUUGUCAUAGGAAUAACUGCUUGAAAAAGUAGCUAAUACCAAAUAACAUAUCGUAUAGGCAUCUAUAAGAUAUCAAAGAGAAAUCGGACAAAGAUGAGCCCGCAUCUGAUUAGCUGGUUGGUAGGGUAAAAGCCUACCAAGGCGACGAUCAGUAGCCGGCCUGAGAGGGUGAACGGCCACAUUGGAACUGAGACACGGUCCAAACUCCUACGGGAGGCAGCAGUGGGGAAUAUUGCACAAUGGGGGGAACCCUGAUGCAGCAACGCCGCGUGAGUGAAGAAGGCUUUCGAGCCGUAAAACUCUGUGUAAGGGAAGAUA
rnacentral:rRNA from 1 species